rnacentral:rRNA from 1 species
UAACUUAUCUUCUGGACUCUUCUAGCUGCCUCAGUUCGACCUCCAUGAAGCGUUUCCCACAAAGUGAGACCGUGAGAUGCCAGUCCGCCAUCCGAGGCCAUCGUCGUCGCUGGCGGCAAGUAGGGAUCCUUUGCGGUUAGCACGGCCCGCGUCUGGCGCGUCCAAGCCCGGGCCUAAGUUGUGGCAGCUGCUCCCAUGCCUAUGUUCCCCUCUGUUCGAGCUCAGAGAUGAUUCACUGGUGAGAUGCGGUCUGCCGUCUGAGGUCGUUGCUGUGGCCGGCGGCAAGGCGAGAGCUAUUGCGGAUAGCACCGCUUGCGUCGGGGGCGCCAAAGCCCGAUCCUAAGUUGUGGCAGCUGCUCCAUGUCGCUGUUCCCCUCCGAACAGCGUCGCGUGCUGCUCCAUGCCGCCGUUCCCCGCCGAACAGCAUCGCGUACGGGGGCGGUCAGUUGGUACCCCAAGAUACAGCACAAGCUCGUGCAAACUCACUUGAAGUUUGGAGCUCGAUGCAAGCUCAAAGGGAGAGGUGAGUGCUACCCCCAUAUACUACUUCAUGUACGUGUAAUUUUCCUUUCCUGUAGCUCAAAGUAAUGGAAACAGAGUGCACAUAUGCGUGUACUCUAGUUUGAUGUGCAGCUUCACCUUUCCAUUCUUAGUUUUCAAUCUGGAAAACUAAAUCAUGAAGGAAUAACCAGCAACUAAUUUGUAUUCAUAUAUAUCUUUAUUUGAGCAUAAAACUGUUGCUCGACUUCUGAAAAAUCCAUAUACCAUGUCAAUGUUACUACACCACACCCUGAACCAUGAGUAUAUAUAAGCAAAAAAAAUCUAAAGAAAUAUGAGUUACACGUUCAGUUGUCAUCACUAAAUAAAAUUAUUGGCAUGAAGGAUAUGUCAAAGUCCGAGGAUCACAACGAAUGAAGCUAUUGGUAUCCUUCAAACCAUGCCAUGUUACAAUCUCUGAUGAAAAUAAUUAUAC